GGUUGUGUGUGGCUUUAAAGGAAAUGAGAAAAAGCCUGCCAGCAACCAGUGGGAUGUAAAACAUAGACUGUGAAAAAAAGCAUGUCUCAAACCUUCACAAUGGUAAACACCUGGAAACCAAUGAACAACCCUUAGAUUCUAUUCUGACUGAUAGGUGUGAUUAAGGAAAAGACGAAAGCUGAUGCUAUUCUAAAAUACAGUUGUAGUAAAUUCUUAUAAUUUUAUGUUGUUUUGGCAUCCCUUUUAAAUGUAGGUUUCACUUUCUCAUACCAAAAGCAGGGCUCAGUCACCCUUGAUGCAAUUUCCGGUGCUAUACCACACCCAAAUGGCUCAAGCUGGUGGCCAGAGAUAAGAACUCAGAAGCAUCUCUGCCACCUGCCUGACUGGAUUCCUCGUGUUCCCAGCGUGCCCUUUAAGUGGGCCAUCAGGGGAAGUGCCACCUGGGAAGUGACACACACCCUGUUCCCUUGUACAAACUACUAGCUGCCAUGCAUUCUCCAUCUCUGCCUGACUUUUCAGUCCUUCACAUAACCCAGGGAUGAAGCACUUCUCCGCGUCGCACCCUGACUCAUUAUGCUGUCCUUGUCCAGGAUCUGAAUACUUUUUUGAUUAUUUAGUCUGGUAACUAUCAGCAUAUCAAAGAAGAUGUGAAAAGAAGCACUUUGAAGCUACAAGAACUCCACUGCAGCCUAGGCAGAGCUUCCAGACUUCCCAUGUUCCAACUCUGCUUCUGCUGGAGGCAGAAUAGAAACCCCGUCAGUUAUCACAACUCAGCUUCUGAGGAUGAGUUCAGACCUACCAGUUCUAGAACAAAUAUGUAUAUUUUAAAAUUUUAGGGAGGACAAAUGGAUUCCUGAGGUGCAGGGCAAUCAACAGAUGAGAUCCAAGAGUCAGAACCCUGGAAUGGACCACCUGAACUUUCCUAUGGAGCCCCAGGACUUCUUCCCCCAGUUCCUGCUGUUUCUCCUCCUCCCUGUAGCAGGCUUCUUAAAGCAGGUAGUUUGACCUGCUCAGCACCACACUGCAUAAAACAAUGCCGGAAGACUUGAGCAGUGGCGACUUACCAAGACAGCUGGCUGCCUAUGUUUAUGGCAUUUGGAAUCCACUGGGAACACAUACAUUUGUCACAGUGUGUUCUUGAAAUAAGUGAGGCCGUCUCCCAACUGGCCCUACAUAAUCAACGCAGCCCAGCCCCACAUGGCUACUCCGAUGGAUAAUGCUCUAUUUGCCAAAUGCAACGGGAACCUACCACAGGCCAGGGUGCUUCCAACAACAACAACAACAAAAAAUGAGAAACUAAAGACAGUAAGGGAGAAAGAGGCUGGGUAUAAGCACUUAUCAAUACAUCGGACUGCAAACUCCUAGAAUGGAAUUAUUAGGAUGAAAAAACCUCACAGCUUGUGGUGUUGACAGCAUUCUAGAAGACCCUACACCCCUGUGGCUUCUGGAUGACUAUCGUGGAGCCAGCAUCUGUCAGCACAAACUCAGAGUGAUUAUCCAGAAAUAGGUGCUUGGCAACAAUCCCAAUUCAUUACCCAAGUCCUAGCCCAGAGUGUGGAGGAAAAGGGAUACCAUCAAUUUCUUGGCAGUUAUCCCAUGAUGGAUCAUUCAAAUAUUUUUAAUAAAAUAUCAAUUCAAUUUUAA